rnacentral:lncRNA from 1 species
AUGGACAAAACAAGAGAAAAAGAAAUGGAGCCAGACACGUGUGAUAGGAUUAGGGACAGGGAGAGAUUUCUUGCAACCCGAAGAAGAGAUGGAGAGAUUGACUGGAGAGAAAGAGAGAGGCGGAGAAAUGGAGAUCGAUGUGCAAAUGGAAGCUCAUCAGUGUCAGAGCAGGCUGAGUAUGGAGAUCGAUACAAUGAGAGGAGAAAAGGGGACACUUUUCCAAAGAUGACAAAACCAAACAGAGUGAGAGACAGAAGGACACCACUUACAGACUAUGAAAGAGAGCGUCACAUGGGAAGACCAAAGGACAUACUGUAUGAAAAGGAAAGGAGGAGAUACAGAGACAUGGACAUGCGGAGUGAAAGAGAAAUUGCAAGAAACAGGGAGGAGCUGAGGAGAAAUGAAAUGAGAAGGCCCGUAAAGGAGGAGCCAGAUAGACAGAGGGAACGAGACAGGGAGUUUGACUCAGGAAUGAGAGAUAGAAGGAGAGAAAGUUAUCCAGGGGUCAGUGACCUUUCAGGCAUGAGGGAAAGAGAGACAGACAGAGACAGAGAAAGACAUCGACAAAGAGAAAGAGAGGGCAGAUAUUAUCCUCGGCUCAUGGAAAGAGAGACAGAGAGCUUUUCAGACAGGGAAAGGAGGACUGAUAGACAAAGAGAUGGAGAGAGUUCUAGGAAAAGAGAUACAAAAAGCGAAGGAGACAGUGAUGGAGACAGGGGUAAGGAAAGGACGAGAGAAGAAGAUGCUACACAUAGACACAAACUCUACAAGAGUGAAGGAGACAGUGAUGCAGAGCGAAGGGCAGACAAAGUUAGAGAGAGAGAGAGACGUAGAGAGAGAGAAGCCGAAAGAUGGCGAGACAAGGCAGUAAGAGGAAGAGAUUACCGAGAGACGGGUUACCAUGAUCCAAAAGUAGAAAAUUCAGAACGACUCAAAGAGACAGAUAAACCAAGAGAUAGAACGAGAGACUCCAAAGACAAAAGAAUGGACAGAGAUUACUUAUACACAACUGAAAGAGGAAGGUGUAGGGAUGGAGAAAGGAUAAGAGAUAGGGAUAGGUAUUCUGAAAAAGAGAUUGAAGAGAGGGAGAGGCGGGUAAAAGAGUACAAAGAGACAGGGAGAAGUAAGAUGGAGAAUAGUGGAGAGCUGAUUUCAGGAAGUGAUAUUGAGAAUGAAAAAAGGAGGACAAUGAGAGAGAACCUUGAGGACAGAGACAGAGAAAACACAUCUGAGAUUGAUAAAGAAAGACUGGAGGAAAGAACAGAGGAAGAGCAGGAAGUAAGGAUUACACCGAGGGAAGAAGAGAAGAGUGAAAGCUUUGCUGCUGAGGAAGCAGUUACAAAGAAACCUAAGAACAGGAUAAGGAAAAUGUGGCUGGAACCUCGAAGUGAGAGAAAAGAAUCUUGUUUAAAAGAGGACACAGAGAGAGAGAGAGAAAGAGAGAGGUACAUCCAAAGAUACAAAGAAAGCAUGACAACAGGGAAUGAAGAAGAGCCUGAGAGAAGGAAACCAAGCAAGAGCAAAUGUCUUGAGGACAAGUAUAGAGAACUUGAAAGGGCUGGAGAGUUCAUGAGGGAUGUGGACGUAGAAAGGGAGGAGAAGAGGAUGGAAGGGGACAUGGCUUAUGAUAAAGAAGCCAUAGAAUCAGAGUGGCAGAUGGAAAGAGAGAAUGUGGCCGAUAACUUGGAAGAAAAUGAUAGAGAUGAACAGAGAAGCAAUAAUAGAUAUGACUACUUGGAGAAUGAGGAAGGAAGUGAGGGAGAAUCGGAAGCAGAGAAGAACAGAAUGAUGUCAGCAGAUGACGGAUUUGUAACAGUCUCCAGUGGAGGGGAUGAUGCGGAGGAAGAGGAUUUUGAAGACUGCAAAGAAUUCUGGGAAGGUGGAGUUCCCAAAGCUAUCUCUGGACACUCAGGAACUACAGAGGACACAGAAAAUGGAGCAAAUGAAGCUCCAAAAGGACCCUUAAGAGUCUUUUGUGUGAUUGGUCAGACCCAUCCCACGUCACAAACCAAUGAGAAUUCAUAUGCACAUCCUACUGUUGAAGAGGCAGCCAAUCAGCAUUCAUGUCAUAACAUGGGCACUCAAGGUGAAAUGAGCAUAAAUGAAGCAUUUGAAAAGGUUGAACACUGUGAACAGGACAUUGAAAGAGCAAUGGCUGACCUCAGUCUUUGUCCUAAUGAGGACAAAGGGGAGGGAGCAGGGAGUAAUGACCAGACAACAGAGGGCGUAACAUCACUGGAAGGCCAAAUGAUUCCUCCCAGUGAGCGAUCAGAACAAGACACCCAACUCUUCCUACCAGAGCCUUCUGAAACUUCAGGGCCAUCCAAGGAUAAUGGUCAUGGGGGAACAGAGACUCAUAGUGAAGACACAAUACAAAGAGGAGCAAAAGAACCUACCGGAGACCCAGUGGAGCAUUCUGGUUCUGAUGAGACAUGGAGCACAUCUGAGGAACGAAAGCGAUGCUCUACUGCUCCUCACCUUAGUUGGGCCAAGAACGUGGUGAGAGAGAUCCUGGGUCGAAAGUCGGUGGACACAGAAAAUGCAAGAGGUAGUGUGACACACAUAGACACGCAAACCAACACACAAACAGAGGGUGAGAGAGAAAUGGACGAAUCAAGGAAAGAGGAAGAAAUAAUAGAGGGAGGAGAAGAACAACAGGGAGGGAUGGAGAGAGAGUUGAAUGCGAACCGUGACUGGCUGGAUCCUAGUUCUAACCAGCACACGGUUUCCUCAGAAGGAGAGGCAGAGGGGAAGGUAGAAGAAGUGUCUAAGAAGAAAGAGAGUAAAGAGGAAGUUGUUCUAAGCUCUAGUAGUUUUCGAGAUUUGGGGAAUGAGGCUCGCACGAGGAGGCGAGGGUUUCGAAAGUCAGCGGAGAAAACCAAAGAAGAGGAAGAGGUUGAGGAAGAGGAAGAGGGAGUUGGAAGGGACCGCAGGACGAGAAUAUUCAACAAAUCAGGUGAGAGAAAGACUAACAUAAGAAGGCUGACUUGGAUAUUCAGUGACCCACUUGCUCCCACUCAUGUGAGGAGAUCUAAAUGUGUCUUGAGAUGUCUGUUGAACCUAUUCUAUCAAAUUGAAUAUACCAGUGGUAUAAUGUCAUGUAGAGAGGCUAAAUGUGCUUACGCAAGAAUGUAA